rnacentral:rRNA from 1 species
ACGAGCGGCGAACGGGUGAGUAACACGUGAGCAAUCUGCCCUUCUCUUUGGAAUAACCAUUGGAAACGAUGGCUAAUACCGGAUACGACCGACCUACGCAUGUGGUGUUGGUGGAAACUUUUAUGGGUGGGGGAUGUGCUCGCGGCCUAUCAGCUUGUUGGUGGGGUAAUGGCCUACCAAGGCUUCGACGGGUAGCCGGCCUGAGAGGGUGAUCGGCCACACUGGGACUGAGACACGGCCCAGACUCCUACGGGAGGCAGCAGUGGGGAAUAUUGGACAAUGGGCGAAAGCCUGAUCCAGCCAUUCCGCGUGAGUGAAGAAGGCCUUCGGGUUGUAAAGCUCUUUCGCAAGAGAAGAAAGAUUAUUUUUUAAUAGAAGAUGAUUAUGACGGUAUCUUGAUAAGAAGCACCGGCUAACUACGUGCCAGCAGCCGCGGUAAUACGUAGGGUGCGAGCGUUAAUCGGAAUUACUGGGCGUAAAGCGUGCGCA